UACAGAGGGGGCAAGCGUUAUUCGGAAUUAUUGGGCGUAAAGGGCGCGUAGGCGGCUUGGCAAGUGGAUGGUGAAAUCCCUCGGCUUAACCGGGGAACUGCAUCUGAUACUGGAUGGCUUGAGUUCGGGAGAGGGAUGCGGAAUUCCAGGUGUAGCGGUGAAAUGCGUAGAUAUCUGGAGGAACACCGGUGGCGAAGGCGGCAUCCUGGACCGACACUGACGCUGAGGAGCGAAAGCCAGGGGAGCAAACGGG
rnacentral:rRNA from 1 species